rnacentral:hammerhead_ribozyme from 1 species
AUCCAGCUGACGAGUCGAAAAUAGGAAGAAACGCGUCCUGUAU